rnacentral:rRNA from 1 species
CCCUUAGAUGUCCUGGGCUGCACGCGCGCUACACUGAUGUGUCCAGUAAGCACCUAACCUAUUCCGAGAGGAGCGGGUAACCUUAGCAAAGCACAUCGUGAUGGGGAUAGAUUAUUGCAAUUAUUAGUCUUGAACGAGGAAUUCCUAGUAAGCACAAGUCAUCAGCUUGUGUUGAUUACGUCCCUGCCCUUUGUACACACCGCCCGUCGCUCCUACCGAUUGAAUGUUCCGGUGAGCUCUUCGGACUGCGCGGUCUGCAGUUUCUGCGUUCCGUGCGGAAAGUUGUGCAAACCUUAACAUUUAGAGGAAGGAGAGGUCGUAACA